rnacentral:rRNA from 1 species
AUUGAACGCUGGCGGCAGGCCUAACACAUGCAAGUCGAACGAGUGGCGGACGGGUGAGUAAUGCUUGGGAAUCUAGCUUAUGGAGGGGGAUAACUACGGGAAACUGUAGAUAAUACCGCGUACCACAGGAUGGGCCCACGUGGGCUUAGGUAGUUGGUGGGGUAAAGGCUCACCAAGCCGACGAACGCUAGCUGGUCUGAGAGGAUGACCCGGCAAACUGGGACUGAGACACGGCCCAGACUCCUACGGGAGGCAGCAGUGGGGAAUAUUGCGCAAUGGGGGCAAGCUGAUGCAGCCAUGCCGCGUGUAUGAAGAAGGCCUUCGGGUUGGAAAGCACUUUUGUUAGGGAGAUGUUACCUAAAGAAUAAGCACCGGCUAACUCCGUGCCAGCAGCCGCGGUAAUAC